GGACAUUGUCUGCUCGGCGCCUUGGCGGGGUGAGGUAGUAGGUUGUGUGGUUUCAGGGUAGUGAUUUUGCCCCAAUCAGAAGAUAACUAUACAACCUACUGCCUUCCCUGAGGGGUCGCCUCAGCCCAGGCCACCCA
rnacentral:precursor_RNA from 15 species